AGAGUUUGAUCAUGGCUCAGGAUGAACGCUGGCGGUGUGCCUUAGGCAUGCAAGUCGAACGGGGUAGCAAUACCCAGUGGCAGACGGGUGAGUAACACGUAGGAAUCUACCUUGUAGUGGGGGAUAGCUCGCCGAAAGGCGGGGUAAUACCGCAUUCACCCUCCGGGGGAAAGUCGUAAGACGCUAUAAGAGGAGCCUGCGCGCUAUCAGCUAGUUGGUGGGGUAAUGGCCUACCAAGGCGAUGACGGCUAGCCGAUGUGAGAGCAUGAUCGGCCACAAGGCUACUGAGACACGGAGCCUACACCUACGGGUGGCAGCAACCGGGAAUCUUGCGCAAUGGACGAAAGUCUGACGCAGCGACACCGCGUGUGGGAAGAAGGCCUUCGGGUCGUAAACCACUGUGGCGAGGGAGGAAGUUCUGACCGUACCUCGCUAGAAAGCACCAGCUAAUCACGUGCCAGAAGCUUCGGUAAUACGUGAGGUGCAAGCGUUAUCCGGAUUUACUGGGCGUAAAGGGUCCGUCGGCUUUUUGGUAAGUUUUUUGUUUCAGCCCCUGGCUUAACUAGGGAAAAGCAAAGAAAACUGUCAAAAUAGAAUCUGUUCGAGGUAGCUAGAAUUCUUGGUGGAGGGGUGAAAUCCGUAGAUAUCAAGAGGAAUACCGUACGCGAAGGCAGGCUACUAGGACAAGAUUGACGCUCAGGGACGAAAGCUUGGGGAGCAAAAGGGAUUAGAGACCCCUGUAGUCCAAGCCGUAAACACUCCUUGCUAGUUGCCCCAUUCUCUCAAAAUUUCAUUUUGAGCAUUUCUCAAAACGUACACUACUCAUUUCUCAAUCAGAAGUGAAGAGUGUUUAGUGGAAAAUGUCGAACAAAUUGGAAAUUUGUGAGAUUGGGGUGGCGUAAGCUAACGCGUUAAGCAAGGCGCCUGGGGAUUACGGCCGCAAGGCUAAAACUCAAAGGAAUUGACGGGGGAGCGCACAACCGGUGGAGCAUGUGGUUUAAUUCGAUACAAAGCGAAAAACCUUACCCAGGUUUGACAUGUACCUGCACGUCCUAGGAAACUAGGAUUUCUUCGAGAGUGGUACACAGGUGAUGCAUGGCUGUCGUCAGCUCGUGUCGUGAGACGUCCGCUUAAGUGCGGUAACGAGCGCAACCCUUAUCGCUAGUUACAAGUGUCUAGCGAAACUGCUUCUGCUCUGCAGAGGAGGAAGGAGAGGAUGAUGUCAAGUCAGCAUGUCCCUUACAUCUGGGGCUACACACAUCCUACAAUGGAGCCGACAACAGGUUGCGAUGGGGUAACCCUGAGCUAAUCCUUAAACGGCCCCUCAGUUCAGAUUGUGGGCUGCAAUCCGCCCACAUGAAGCCGGAAUCGGUAGUAAUCGCAAAUCAGCAGGUUGCGGUGAAUACGUUCUCGCUCCUUGUACACACUGCCCGUCAAGCCAGCAAAGUCAGCAACGCCCGAAGCGGAUGAUCCUAACUCGCAAGAGAGGGACACUUCUACGGCGAGGUUGGCGAUGAGGACUAAGUCGUAACAAGGUA
rnacentral:rRNA from 1 species